rnacentral:rRNA from 1 species
UACGAAGGGGACUAGCGUUGUUCGGAAUCACUGGGCGUAAAGCGCACGUAGGCGGAUGUGUCAGUCAGGGGUGAAAUCCCGGGGCUCAACCUCGGAACUGCCUUUGAUACAGCACGUCUCGAGUCCGGAAGAGGUGGGUGGAAUUCCUAGUGUAGAGGUGAAAUUCGUAGAUAUUAGGAAGAACACCAGUGGCGAAGGCGACACACUGGCCCAUUACUGACGCUGAGGCUCGAAAGCGUGGGGAGCAAACAGG